UUAAAAAGGCAUUGCGGUGCUACAGGGAAAUUAUCAUGGACGUCACGCCUCCAGAGGCCCAGAAAAUUAUUGGAGAACUUGUGUCAGUAUAUGAGAAGUGCAUGCUGGGAUUAUUCAAUUCUUCGAUUACAUCUACGACGCCACCUACCGCUGGGUCAACAAUGGCAAAAUAAAGCUCUAGUAUUG